CACGAAGGGGGCUAGCGUUGCUCGGAAUCACUGGGCGUAAAGGGUGCGUAGGCGGGUCUUUAAGUCAGGGGUGAAAUCCUGGAGCUCAACUCCAGAACUGCCUUUGAUACUGAAGAUCUUGAGUUCGGGAGAGGUGAGUGGAACUGCGAGUGUAGAGGUGAAAUUCGUAGAUAUUCGCAAGAACACCAGUGGCGAAGGCGGCUCACUGGCCCGAUACUGACGCUGAGGCACGAAAGCGUGGGGAGCAAACAGGG
rnacentral:rRNA from 1 species